UAUUUCGGGAUUCAAAGCCAUUUCAAAAAGAUGAAGUUAAAAAUGUUCAAGAACGCUGUGGAAACAUGAUAUUGGAACAUAUUGAAGUAAGUGCGAACAAUGAUAUGAAUUAGGGUGCAAUUCUGUGUUGGAUGUUGGCUAUAGUCUUUAAGGUUCCUACUUUUGAUUGUAUAUAUUUUGAUAAGUACGUUGUUGUUUCACCAAAGUAGUUACUCUUGUUUAUGCUUUUGUUUAUAAGACUAGUGUUAUAUCUGUUGAGUUUGCAUUUUAGUGCAAAGCGCAGUGUACCUAUUUUGAUUACAAUGAUGUUUUAAUUUUAUAUGACAAUAUUUUCUUCUAUGGUUUUAUUAUUAUUAUUUUGCAAGCAGUGUAUGCUAUUAGUUUAAGUAUAUAUGUG
rnacentral:lncRNA from 1 species